rnacentral:lncRNA from 1 species
AACACCAACAUUUGACAGGGAGGUAAAGAUUUUAAAGAGAAUUCUAAUUGUUGAAGCAAUGACGUGCUGAUAAACAAUUAAUAAUGUCCAUAGUGCAAACGGAGAGAAUAAAACUAUAAUUUAUAUUCUCUCUUGAAGGUAUCCAUAAUAUAUAACCAACGAAUGGUUUUAUCAAUAGUUUACACAUGCUGAUCGAACUUCAGAAGUUGGAAGAAAGAGUAUGUCCACAGAAAUUGCCUGAUUACAUGCUACAUAUCUGAAUUCAAAGUAACCCAUGAUCAACUUGCGUUCCCAAUUCUAUCUCAACCAAAAUUCACCUUCCAAACACAAAAGUUCACGUCAAUUCAAACUCAUCAUACUAAAAAAACAGAGGAAAAAAAAUAACCAAUUUCACAUGAACAAAUCAAUCUGAGUUCCAACUUAGUUUUCCUGCAAUAAAACGACCAAAGUUAAGAAAA